UCCACUGUUGAUAGAACUAAAUCUUCAGAGGUUUUGGUGAAUGAUCUGUGAAUGAAUGUAAGUGCUGUCUUUUACAAGAGUACUUGAUGUCAUCAUGGGUGGUAACAGACCAUUAACAGUUCUGCGAAAAAUGUGAUGGAAAUAAGUGAUAGCUAGAUAAUAUGUGAUCAGAGCCUUAUUUAAGGAAAACUGCACACACACAAAGCCAGUAGCUUGGCUUUUUCUGAACAGAACACCUGAAAGCAAUACUGAGCUCUCUGGCCUCGAAUUGCACAAACUCCUGACCUGGACUCUGGAUUACCAGCAGCAAAUGGAUAUAAUGAACACCACUAUAUAGUGUGACACACAGAUUUCUCAUCAUGUUAUUCUAACAUAUUUUCAUCCAUUUCAGCACAUGGAAGGCAAUUCAUUAAAAUUGAAGGAAGACAGGAAGUGGCAUGGCCCUUUACCCCACAGGUUCUUUUGCGCAGAAAGGCAGAGCAGGAGUCUGGUUUCCUUGUCAUGCAUUCAAAAGGUCAUAUUUUCUUUCCAGCAGUAAAUGACUGAUGUUGGCCUCAAUGCAGUCAGCAUGGCACAACAUAUGCUGAAAAAUAGAAUUUGAGCUAUAAGGACAGAGAAAAAAAGCAUUUGACAAGACUUUAAGCAUGAACUGAGAUUGUCAAGAUGCCUUUUUGGAGUCAAGAAUGAUUGAAAAUGUUUAUUCUCAAUAGAUAAAAUAUUUGAAGUUCGUUGAAAUUGCAAGAAAUAAAUUAUGACUGCAAAGCUUUUGCAUCUUCUAACAGAGGUCAAUCUUCUCUGCCUUCUUUGAAAAGCCUUUUAGCCUUGAUAAAAAGCUAAUAAAUCUAAUAGAGGGGGCAACUCCUCAGCAUCUAUGUACACCUAGAAUUGCGUACAGUUUUCACAAAAGGUUCUGUUUUGGUGAUAGGAGAAUCAGACCAUGAGAUGUUCUUUAACACAUCCUACACAUUCUCAAUGGGAUUUAUUUUCUGGACUCUAUUGUGGACAGUCAGUGUAGUGAAAGCAGUGUCUCGUGGUUUCUGAACAACUCUUUCACAAUUCAAGCCCACUAAAUCCUGGCAUUGUCUGCUAAAGUGAGAUGGUUGCUUAAGAAGUGAGAAGCUGCUCACUGAGUUACUUAGUGUUAUUUAACUUGCUGCCAGCUGCUCUGAAUCAAUGCAGUACUUUUCCAAUUAAAGUCUCCUACCUACUAGUGCAGUCAAGGUUUUUAACUUUUUUUAAUCCUUACAAUAUGUUUUGCUAUUAACUCAAAAGGGACACCCAGAUAAAAUCAUUAGUUGUGUAUUAAAACUCUUUUUCUUUUCUUUUAAUUCUAAUCUACAAGGUUAACGAUUAAUAACAACAGUUUAGUUUGGUUUUACAUAAGCUGUGAAUAAUAGUAAAAUGCAUCUCAGCCUUGAGCUAAACUGGAAAAGUACUGAACAGAGCAUGAGAAACAAAGGACAGGUUCUGAAAUGCAAAUGCCUUGACUUUCCUGAUCAGGUAGAGUUUUUCUAGUUGGGCUGGAUGAGGGCAGGUCAGUGUUACACACAGUGUCCGGUUGCAGGUACAAACAAAUUUAGUGCCUCUGUGCACUUUGACACGCAAAUGUCACAUAAGGUCUGCUGGUUAAACAUUUAUUAAGUUUCCAUGUGCACGAUUAAAACUGUGAAGCUUUUCUGGUGAAGAAUAGAAUUUAAACACAGAAAUUUGUACAAAAGGGUGAGGUAAAGGGUGGAUGUGAUCAAAAUCUAGAGUUAUGGCCUACAUGUAUUCUACAUUUGGAUGAAAAUUAAAAUGGCAUGUCACCAUGAGAACACCAUGCCCUCAGUGAAACAUGGUAGUGGCAGCAUAAUGCUGUAGGGAUGGUUCUUCGGCAGGAACAUCUGACAAAGGAAUUAUUCCUUAACAAAGAUAAAUGACAAAAGUUUCAGUCUAGAUAAAUAAAGAUGGCAGAGAUGUGCACCAAAUGACAGGGUAAGGCUUAACACAGAUUUACACCACACUAUUCAGAUUACAAUAACAUGUAUCCUUUCCUUUCACUUCAAAAUAUUUGCUACUUUGUGUUGGCCUAGCAUAUAGAACCCUCUAAGAAACAAUAACAUUUGUGGAUUUACCUUGACAAAAUGUGGGAAAGUUCAAUGGAUGCGAUUAUUUUUCAGGGAGAUGGUAAGAGAUAAAACUGGGAUUGCUUAGUGGAGCUCAUUUGAAUCCUUGCAUUAACUUGAAUCUGCUUAUGACUGGCAGGGACAAUGUCCUCGGAGCCUGGUGCUACAUGGAUAGAGCAGAUGGUGGGUGCAGUAGCUGGCAGGGCCUUUGUGUAUGGUCUUAUUCUAGAAACAACACAUUUGCUGGGUGUUAACAAGCAACAAGUGAAUCCAAUUUUUCAGACUCAUGCUUUUUCUGAUAAAUUACAUUUAAUGCUCGGACUGGGUGGAAUUUGGGGAUAAUGCAGUCAGUCUAAUCUGGUUAUGUGGAAGGGUCGUGUUGUAGCAUGUAAGACUGCCUUACUUGCUGACAACUGGUGAUUUACUAAUAACUGUGAAUUAUUGAGGUCUGUACUGGUGUGCAGCAGAGGCAGGCCUUCUUUUAUCAAAGACUUUCAUAGGAUGAAAGCAUGUGCUGACCUCUGCAGUAACUUAUGUAGUGAAUCAGGCAGAUAAAUAAAGUCAAUUCGUUGCAGGCUUUGCACCACUGGUGCUUAAUCUGUUAGGUUUUUUUUCUAUGCAUCUCAUGAAGUCCAAGAAAACAUCCAGAUCACAACUGACUUUGAUAAAAGAGCCCAUUGACAUUUUUUUUUUUUCUUUCUUAGAUGGAGUCCCACCUGCAUUGAUAAAAUUCAGUAUCUUGACAGGAACAUGCCUCUAAUCAUUGGGCUCCCUGCAGGGGUGGGACGCCUUAUUGAGAUCAACAAGGCAGGAAGUGGAAUCAACUCAUCUCUGUCCUUUGGCCCAGUAGUUCAUUGUGCUGAAAAUGAGAACUAGCAAGCUAUUUCAUUUGUACAUAUUGGAUGUGCCUGUCCUGUUGUUUGGUUUUUCAGGUGUACUGGAAAGAGUCGCUGAGUGAUACCAGGACAUCUGUAUAAUUACCUGCUGUCAACUGAAGAUGAGCUCUUCUGUUCUAUUGUGCUGUGUUACAAUACAGAGAAAAUAAACGGAACCAUUUCUAGAGCAUGCUAAGUGUAUAAUGUGGUAAAAAAAAAAAAAAAGAGCUGGUCUGAGAGGUAGAAAUAUGGACAGAAAAGUAGCAAAUAAAAUAUUUCUCCCCA